rnacentral:rRNA from 1 species
GUUAUAUGGUCAAGCGAAUAAGCGCACACGGUGGAUGCCUUGGCGGUCAGAGGCGAUGAAGGACGUGGCAGCCUGCGAAAAGUAUCGGGGAGCUGGCAACAAGCUUUGAUCCGGUAAUGUCCGAAUGGGGAAACCCACCCGCUUGCGGGUAUCCUGCAGUGAAUACAUAGCUGCUGGAAGCGAACCUGGUGAACUGAAAUAUCUAAGUAACCAGAGGAAAAGAAAUCAACCGAGAUUCCGUAAGUAGCGACGAGCGAACGCGGACUAGCCCUUAAGCUGGAUUGGUUCUAGGAAAACGCUCUGGAAAGAGCGGCCAUAGAAGGUGAUAGCCCUGUAUCUGAAAGGGCCAUUCCAGUGAAGACGAGUAGGGCGGGGCACGUGAAACCCUGUCUGAACAUGGGGGGACCAUCCUCCAAGGCUAAAUACUACUGACCGACCGAUAGUGAACCAGUACCGUGAGGGAAAGGCGAAAAGAACCCCGGAGAGGGGAGUGAAAUAGAACCUGAAACCGUGUGCGUACAAGCAGUAGGAGCUCCGCAAGGAGUGACUGCGUACCUUUUGUAUAAUGGGUCAGCGACUUACUGUUCGUGGCAAGCUUAACCGUAUAGGGGAGGCGAAGGGAAACCGAGUCUGAUAAGGGCGCAUAGUCGCGGGCAGUAGACCCGAAACCGGGUGAUCUAGUCAUGCCCAGGGUGAAGGUGCGGUAACACGCACUGGAGGCCCGAACCCACUCCCGUUGCAAAGGUAGGGGAUGAGGUGUGAUUAGGAGUGAAAAGCUAAUCGAACCCGGAGAUAGCUGGUUCUCCUCGAAAGCUAUUUAGGUAGCGCCUCAUAUGUAUCCUCUCGGGGGUAGAGCACUGUUAUGGCUAGGGGGUCAUCGCGACUUACCAAACCAUUGCAAACUCCGAAUACCGAGACGGACUGUAUGGGAGACACACGGCGGGUGCUAACGUCCGUCGUGAAAAGGGAAACAACCCAGACCCACAGCUAAGGUCCCAAAUUUUGUGCUAAGUGGAAAACCAUGUGGAAAGGCACAGACAGCCAGGAGGUUGGCUUAGAAGCAGCCACCCUUUAAAGAAAGCGUAAUAGCUCACUGGUCGAGUCGGUCUGCGGGGAAGAUUUAACGGGGCUAAGCACAGAACCGAAGCUUGGGGUGCAUAACUUUGUUAUGCGCGGUAGAGGAGCGUUCCGUAAGCCGUUGAAGGUGGAUUGAGAAGUCUGCUGGAGGUAUCGGAAGUGCGAAUGCUGACAUGAGUAACGAUAAUGCGGGUGAAAAACCCGCACGCCGAAAGCCCAAGGUUUCCUUGCGCAACGUUAAUCGGCGCAGGGUGAGUCGGCCCCUAAGGCGAGGACGAAAGUCGUAGUCGAUGGGAAGCAGGUUAAUAUUCCUGCACCUCGCGUAAGUGCGAUGGAGGGACGGAGAAGGUUAGGUGUACCAGGCGUUGGUUGUCCUGGGGAAAGGCGGUAGGUUUGGAUCUUUGGCAAAUCCGGGAUCCUUUAAGACCGAGCACCGAGACGAGCCUUUAUGGCGAAGUCACUGAUACCACGCUUCCAGGAAAAGCUCCUAAGCUUCAGCUUACGCAGACCGUACCGUAAACCGACACAGGUGGGUAGGAUGAGAAUUCUCAGGCGCUUGAGAGAACUCGGGUGAAGGAACUAGGCAACAUGGCACCGUAACUUCGGGAGAAGGUGCACCCUUUUUGGUGGCUCGUGCGAGCUAUAGCUGAAGAGGGUCGCAGUAACCAGGCCGCUGCGACUGUUUAUCAAAAACACAGCACUCUGCAAACACGAAAGUGGACGUAUAGGGUGUGACGCCUGCCCGGUGCUGGAAGGUUAAUUGAUGGGGUCAGCCGCAAGGCGAAGCUCUUGAUCGAAGCCCCAGUAAACGGCGGCCGUAACUAUAACGGUCCUAAGGUAGCGAAAUUCCUUGUCGGGUAAGUUCCGACCUGCACGAAUGGCGUAACGACAGCGGCGCUGUCUCCACCCGAGACUCAGUGAAAUUGAAAUCGCUGUGAAGAUGCAGCGUUCCCGUGGCAAGACGGAAAGACCCCGUGAACCUUUACUAUAGCUUUACACUGAACGUUGAGUUCGUCUGUGUAGGAUAGGUGGGAGGCUAUGAAACCAUGGCGCUAGCUGUGGUGGAGCCAUCCUUGAAAUACCACCCUGUCGUGCUUGACGUUCUAACCUGGGCCCAUUAUCUGGGUCGGGGACCGUGUAUGGUGGGUAGUUUGACUGGGGCGGUCUCCUCCUAAAGAGUAACGGAGGAGCUCGAAGGUACGCUCAGCGCGGUCGGACAUCGCGCACUGUGUGCAAAGGCAUAAGCGUGCUUGACUGCAAGAUCGACGGAUCAAGCAGGUAGGAAACUAGGACUUAGUGAUCCGGUGGUUCUGUAUGGAAGGGCCAUCGCUCAACGGAUAAAAGGUACUCCGGGGAUAACAGGCUGAUACCGCCCAAGAGUUCAUAUCGACGGCGGUGUUUGGCACCUCGAUGUCGGCUCAUCACAUCCUGGGGCUGUAGUCGGUCCCAAGGGUAUGGCUGUUCGCCAUUUAAAGUGGUACGCGAGCUGGGUUCAGAACGUCGUGAGACAGUUCGGUCCCUAUCUGCCAUGGGCGUUGGAGAUUUGAGAGGGGCUGCUCCUAGUACGAGAGGACCGGAGUGGACGAACCUCUGGUGUUCCGGUUGUCACGCCAGUGGCAUUGCCGGGUAGCUAUGUUCGGAAGCGAUAACCGCUGAAAGCAUCUAAGCGGGAAGCGCGCCUCAAGAUGAGAUCUCCCGGGGCACAAGCCCCCUGAAGGAACCAUGUAGACUACGUGGUUGAUAGGUCAGGUGUGUAAGUACAGCAAUGUAUUGAGCUAACUGAUACUAAUGAUCCGAGAGGCUUGACCAUAUAACCU